ACUAUACCUAUUUGCUCCAGAAAGCGGAAAAUUUUUUCCUGGGGUUCUGAGGACAGUCCUAUGUUCUCCCCUCGUGUUGUAAAAUGUUGGUUUAAGUCCGCAAGAGCCAACCCUUAUCCUUUUUCCAGCACGUUAUGGUGGGAACUCAAAAGGAGACUGCCGGUGAUAAACCGGAGGAAGGUGGGGAUGACGUAAGUCAUCAUGGCCUUAGAGUAGGGCUACACCGUGCUACAAUGGGAUGCAUACAGAGAGCGACGAGACCGGAGGUGGAGUGAAUCUCAGAAAGUGCAUCUAAGUCCGGAUUGGAGUCUGCAACUCGACUCCAUGAAGUCGGAAUGCUAGUAAUCGGAAUCAGAAUGUCGGGUGAAUACGUUACCGGGCCUUGUAAACACCGCCGUCACACCAUGGGAGUGGGUUGUACAGAAGUAGAUACGCUUAACCGCGAGGGGGGCGUUUACCACGGUAUGAUUCAUGAUGGGGUGAAGUCGUAACAGGUACCAAUCACUAGUGAAUUUGCGGCGCUGCAGGUCGACCAGAGGGAGAGGAGGGGGGGCC
rnacentral:rRNA from 1 species